rnacentral:rRNA from 1 species
AGUACGAGACGCUAAGGCGUCGAAGUAGUGGAUGUCAUGCUUCCAAGAAAAGCUUGCACUGUCAUAAAUAAAGAACGCCUGUACCAUAACCGACACAGGUGGGUAGGUAGAGUAUACUAAGGGGCGCGAGAUAACUCUCUCUAAGGAACUCGGCAAAAUGACUCCGUAACUUCGGGAGAAGGAGUGCCUUAUUCGUAAGGCUGCAAUAACAAGAUCCAAGCAACUGUUUAUCAAAAACACAGGUCUCCGCUAAGUCGUAAGACGAUGUAUGGGGGCUGACGCCUGCCCAGUGCCAGAAGGUUAAAGAAGUCGGUUAGCAUUAGCGAAGCUGGUAACUGAAGCCCUGGUGAACGGCGGCCGUAACAAUAACGGUCCUAAGGUAGCGAAAUUCCUUGUCGGGUAAGUUCCGACCCGCACGAAAGGCGUAAUGAUUUGGAUACUGUCUCGGAGAGGGGCUCGGUGAAAUAGACUUGUCUGUGAAGAUGCGGACUACCUGCACCAGGACAGAAAGACCCUAUGAAGCUUUACUGUAACUUGAAAUUGAAAUUGGACUUUAUUCGCGCAGUAUAGGUGGGAGGUGUUGAUUAUAAUCUUGCGGGAUUAUUGGAGCCAUCAGUGAGAUACCACUCUUGUAAUGUUAGAUUUCUAACUUUGUAUCAUUAUCUGGUCAAAGAACAGUUUCAGGCGGGCAGUUUGACUGGGGCGGUCGCCUCCUAAAUGGUAACGGAGGCGUACAAAGGUUUCCUCUGAACGGGUAGAAAUCGUAUCUAGAGUGUAAAGGCAUAAGGAAGCUUGACUGUGAGACCUACAAGUCGAGCAGGGACGAAAGUCGGUCUUAGUGAUCCGACGGUACUGAGUGGAAAGGCCGUCACUCAACGGAUAAAAGUUACUCUAAGGAUAACAGGCUGAUCUCCCCCAAGAGUUCACAUCGACGGGGAGGUUUGGCACCUCGAUGUCGGCUCAUCGCAUCCUGGGGCGGUAGUACGUCCCAAGGGUUGGGCUGUUCGCCCAUGAAAGCGGUACGCGAGCUGGGUUCAGAACGUCGUGAGACAGUUCGGUCCAUAUCCGGUGUAGGCGUUAGAAUAUUGAGAGGAGCCUUCUUUAGUACGAGAGGACCGAGAAGGACAUACCUCUGGUGUACCAGUUAUCGUGCCAACGGUAAACGCUGGGUAGCUAUGUAUGGAGUGGAUAACCGCUGAAAGCAUCUAAGUGGGAAGCACACCUCAAGAUAAGUAUUCUCAUC